ACGAGUGGCGGACGGGUGAGUAAUGUCUGGGAAACUGCCUGAUGGAGGGGGAUAACUACUGGAAACGGUGGCUAAUACCGCAUAACGUCGCAAGACCAAAGAGGGGGACCCUCGGGCCUCUUGCCAUCGGAUGUGCCCAGAUGGGAUUAGCUUGUUGGUGGGGUAACGGCUCACCAAGGCGACGAUCCCUAGCUGGUCUGAGAGGAUGACCAGCCACACUGGAACCGAGACACGGUCCAGACUCCUACGGGAGGCAGCAUG
rnacentral:rRNA from 1 species